UGCAGUUCGACGGUGAAGCAGAGCUUGCUUCUGUGGAUCAGUGGCGAACGGGUGAGUAACACGUGAGCAAUCUGCCCCUGACUCUGGGAUAAGCGCUGGAAACGGCGUCUAAUACUGGAUACGAGCCGUGAAGGCAUCUUCAACGGUUGGAAAGAUUUUUCGGUCAGGGAUGAGCUCGCGGCCUAUCAGCUUGUUGGUGAGGUAAUGGCUCACCAAGGCGUCGACGGGUAGCCGGCCUGAGAGGGUGACCGGCCACACUGGGACUGAGACACGGCCCAGACUCCUACGGGAGGCAGCAGUGGGGAAUAUUGCACAAUGGGCGCAAGCCUGAUGCAGCAACGCCGCGUGAGGGAUGACGGCCUUCGGGUUGUAAACCUCUUUUAGCAGGGAAGAAGCGAAAGUGACGGUACCUGCAGAAAAAGCGCCGGCUAACUACGUGCCAGCAGCCGCGGUAAUACGUAGGGCGCAAGCGUUAUCCGGAAUUAUUGGGCGUAAAGAGCUCGUAGGCGGUUUGUCGCGUCUGCUGUGAAAUCCCGAGGCUCAACCUCGGGUCUGCAGUGGGUACGGGCAGACUAGAGUGCGGUAGGGGGAGAUUGGAAUUCCUGGUGUAGCGGUGGAAUGCGCAGAUAUCAGGAGGAACACCGAUGGCGAAGGCAGAUCUCUGGGCCGUAACUGACGCUGAGGAGCGAAAGGGUGGGGAGCAAACAGGCUUAGAUACCCUGGUAGUCCACCCCGUAAACGUUGGGAACUAGUUGUGGGGUCCAUUCCACGGAUUCCGUGACGCAGCUAACGCAUUAAGUUCCCCGCCUGGGGAGUACGGCCGCAAGGCUAAAACUCAAAGGAAUUGACGGGGACCCGCACAAGCGGCGGAGCAUGCGGAUUAAUUCGAUGCAA
rnacentral:rRNA from 1 species